rnacentral:lncRNA from 1 species
AUAAUUGAUUUUAAAAAAAUAAUAUUGUUGCAACAGGUUAAAAUAUUUAGGGAAAAAAACAGUUGUGCAAUAUUUAAGAAGUAUUUAUAGAAUCCCAGCAACACUAAUCAAUUAACGAACAUCCCAACAAAUUAUACAUAAUUAUAAGUAAUAUAUUAUGCUCCAAUCUUUCUCAAUUUCUCUUCCUCUUCUUCCUCCUUCAAAUUCAAACCCCUUCACUCAAAACUGAAUAGACCAAUUGCACCAUUAUAAUUGAAUACACUAUUAGAGCCGGAGAUUAUUGUGAGCACCUAAUUUUUGACCAUUCUUAAAUUUUUUUAAUCUCCCUCACGUCAUUUAGCACAUACCUUACCACCAACACAAUUAUUCCCUCACAUACUUUACACUAAUCAUACACUCAUUUUCCACCUACAAAAUUAUUCCCUACCCCAUUCUCCUUUAUUCCUCACCCCACUUUCCCUUGUCCCCCUCACAUGUUCCCCACUCCCCCUUCCCUCAUUCUCUCUGCUUAAAACACACACACAGACGGAAAAGAAAAAAAGGAAGGAGGGCACAAAAAAAAACGGAACUCACUCCCUUUUUCCUCUAGGAGCAAGCCUUAAAAACUAACAAUCAAAUUUCACCGAAAAAUCAGCAAAAAUCAGCCUCAAAACAGUGCAAAUCCUAGCCAAAAAAUCAGUUCAAAAGCCGCCAUAAAUCACCAUAAAUCAUCCUCAAAAGCUUCAGCAAAAUAGUCUCCAAUCAACAUCACAAAUCACUCAAUUUUUUGGUUUCUUUAUUGCGGAGUUUCAAGGUUCCGGCUACAGUCCGAAUUUUAUUUUUGUUGUAUAAUCAUGCAUCAAUAGCAGUGCCAUUACUUGAAGAACCCUUUCAUCUAUAAAAGGUCCAAUCUUUUUAUCUUGUUUGCUUUGUCUAUUUAUUGUUCCAUUUAGAUGAUAUGUGCUAAUAUGCCUAUUUGCUUGGAUCUGUUAUUCUUUUUUUUUGAGCACAUGAUUUUUCUUAGUUGUUAGUUCUUGUCGUUAAGUUUAUUAGCGUGUGAUGUUGAGUUAGAAUCUAAAAGGAAAAUUUCAAAAAAAAAAAAAAAUAGAACUUAAAAAUAAUGAGGGAAACGUAAUGGUAACAAUAAUGUAUUUGGAUCCUAAGGUUUGGUUUUUGUAAAAGUUAUUUUCUUUAUCAAAAUAAACUAAUCAAUUUUAGUAAUUUCCUAGCGUUAGUUUUAUCAUUUGGUCGAAUUAGUUUCUAAUAUUGUUUUAACUGACUUAUGAUAAUUUUAUUAAUCCUUCAAAUAAUCCUCUCUUGACUUGUGGUAAAUACUAAAUAAAAUACUUUCAUAACUCUUGAGCAUCACAAUAAUCCUAACUUAGGAAAUAGUAAUUUAAAAUGCUUAGGCAAUUUUAGGCGCGUCUUCAAAAGUUGACCAUGAGCUCUUACGAUCCUUGGUUAAUAUCAAUUAAUAAAAAUGGUCAUGUGUGCAUUCCCGCUCCUUGACUCUCUAACUAACAAAUUGCGUUUAGCCAUGUGUUCAUACCCGUGCCUUGGUUUAAACGCACAUGAUAAAAGGACCUUGUGUGCUUACACGUUUCUAGGCCGAAAUCAAUAAAAUUUGAUUAAUUAUUAAGCGGUACUAGACAAUAGUAAUUUAAGGCAAAUAAAUCACAGUUUAUCUAGAAUUAAUUCAAGUUAAGUUUAAGUCAAUAAAGCGACCGUGCUAGAACCACGGGACUCGGGAAAUGCCUUACACCUUCUCCCUGAUCAAAAGAAUUCCUUAUCCGAACAUUGAUUUCGCAGACCAACAUGAAAAGAGUUAAAUUUUUCUUUGAAUAUGGAUUCAAAUAAAAAGGUGACUUGGAACACCGGUAAAAAUCAAUUUCAAGUGGCGACUCUGUAAAAUAAAAUAAAUCCCUAUUUCAAAUUUGUCACUUCAAAUGGAAAAAACUCGUUAACCCACAAUCCUUAAUAACACAUUAUCUUUUGGAGGAUAGAAAAGGGGUGUGACAAUUAUAAAAUUAGCAGCGAGUUAAAUGACCAAAGGCAUACUAAGGCUGAAAUAAAUUUCUCUCUGCCUUCUCUCUACUUUAAGAGAGAGAAGCCUGUACUUCACUCCAACAAACAACAAUCACAUAAAAGUUUUCGAACGAUGGGCUCAAGUGAUAAUGACCAUAUGUUUCAUCAAGAAGAAGAUUUACUUAAAAGGAGCAAAAACAAUUAUCGAGAGCCAACCGAAAAUAAAGUAAGCUUUCGAGACAAAAUUCUAAUCCUAAAUGAGGUAGUUUGAUUCGGACGAAGUUUAAGAAAAAAAAGAAGACUUUUGAAAUUUGUGGUCUUAAAAGCUUAAGGGGUAAAAAGUUUGUGGGGCCAUGAUAUUUGCAUGACUAUAAAAGCUUCUCAUUAAGUGAAAAUGAGUAAAAUGAAAGAAUUUAAAGUUGAAUUAUUUCCAAAUUUAAAAAUGUGUCAUUUAUUUUGGAACAGACUAAAAAGGAAAGUACCUCAUUUAAUAUGGAACAGAGGGAUUCACCUAGAGGGAUUCAACAUUUUUUCCGUAAUACAGGGUGCCUACCCCUGGUUACAUUCUUUUUCCGUCAUAUAGUGUACCAAACCCUAGUUACAUUUCCUUACCAAGUAUAGGGUACACCAAUCCCUAGUUGUAUUCUCCAACAUAGGGUCUCCAUUCCCUAGCUGAUUUUAUUUCAGAUAUAGGGUCACCACUCUCUAGUCUCCUUACUAGUAUAAGGUACACCAAUCCAUGGCUGUGUUUUCCAACGUAGGGUACACCAAUCCCUAGUUGAUCUGAUCUUAAGUGCAGGGUGUACCAGUCCUUGGUAUCUUUGAUAUUAAGGGGUACACCAUUCUCUAGCCAUGUUUUUCCAACAUAAGGUACACCAAUCCUUAGUUGAGACACCAUUUAGAUAAUUAGGAUACACCAUUCCCGAAGAAUUAUGUUUUCCUAGGGUACACCAAUCCCGACUCUUUAUUGCUUUUAAUAAAGUAGUUUAUAAUUUUAUUAGAAUAACUCACGAAAUUUUUCUAGUGAAAACUGAGGCAGAAAAAUUUCGUUCGUUUGUUUGUUUUGGUGUCUGAGCAGGUCUUACCUCAAGGUACAAGGUUCAAGAUGACCAAGAGAAGUAUCAAAAUGGAGAAACAGAUGAAAUAAUGUGGAUUGUUCAAGAUAUGACUGAAGUCACGAGCAUUACAUUUUUCCGUUUUGAUCAGAAGAAGUCGUAGAAGAAUGAACUAGCACCUAUAGCUAGCAAGCAUCAUGGUUCAGAUCAGAGUCUACGUGGAGAACCAGUCAGGACUCGAGGACAAGUUUCAGAAGACUCAUAGAUAGGAAUCUUGUAACUCAUAGCUGAUAGGCUUGUUUAGUUUCUUUUUGAUUUUUGAUGUAAUAAUAGACUUACGGACCGAAGCAUCGACAGAACCUCACUUGACUUAUCAACUUAUC